GCAACUCUCUCUCUCUCUCUCUCUCUCUCUCUCUGUUAAAUAUAUUUGUGAGAGAGAGAGAAGGAGAGAGGGAGGAAAAAAGC